UACGUAGGGGGCAAGCGUUGUCCGGAAUCAUUGGGCGUAAAGAGCGUGUAGGCGGCUUGGUAAGUCCGCUGUGAAAGUCCAGGGCUCAACCCUGGAAAGCCGGUGGAAACUGUCAAGCUUGAGUCCGGAAGAGGCGAGUGGAAUUCCUGGUGUAGCGGUGAAAUGCGCAGAUAUCAGGAGGAACGCCAAUGGCGAAGGCAGCUCGCUGGGACGGUACUGACGCUGAGACGCGAAAGCGUGGGGAGCAAACAGG
rnacentral:rRNA from 1 species